AAAUUGAAGAGUUUGAUCAUGGCUCAGAUUGAACGCUGGCGGCAGGCCUAACACAUGCAAGUCGAACGGUAACAGGAAGCAGCUUGCUGCUUUGCUGACGAGUGGCGGACGGGUGAGUAAUGUCUGGGAAGCUGCCUGAUGGAGGGGGAUAACUACUGGAAACGGUGGCUAAUACCGCAUAACGUCGCAAGACCAAAGAGGGGGACCUUCG
rnacentral:rRNA from 1 species